AAAAAAUUGGGCCAGAAAUUACUUGGCAUAACGAAUUGGGGAUACAGCCCGAAGUGAAGCCCGGAAUUAAUUGGAAGAGAGAGAAAGAACCCUAAACGAACCAGGUGAUCGUGGGAGGAAACCAUCGAAGACGAAGAGAUCAACAUUAUGUUCUAUCGACGAAGAUUUCCAUCCAUUCCCAUGGUUGCUGGUGCUGUCAUAGUUGGCGUAAUUUCUGGAAAGGCAAUAUUUGGCCCCCCGUUGGAAGAGUAUUGGAAGAAAAGGCUCGGAGAGGAAGCAGCAAGCAAGGAGAGUGACGCAAAACCACAAUAGCAACCGGGAGAAGGGUCAAUAACGCAAGCUUCCCUUGAAAGUUGCACAUAUGCUUAUCUUCGACUUCAUUUAGUAUAAGCAUUGUCGAAGGCAGAAGAAUACUGGUUUUAAAGUCCGCCUUGAAUUGUAAAGGUAACCAUGGGAAGACAGAUCAUCAAUUUCACUUGUUCAACCAUUUAUUUUGUUAUGUUUGAAGCAUAAAUAUUACUCCGUAAAUAUCAUGAUUCACGAGCGAAGUAGUUUUGUUUUAUCUCUUUAAUCAAAAUGGAGAAUAAGUGAGAUUUCUUUCUCUCCAUACCAAUGUCAAUGAUUUUAUGGAACAGAAGAUUUGAUCCGAAAGUGAUGGGCCUUUGUUCAGAUGUUUGAUAACAAAGAGUCCAAGAUAGUCACUUCCUUCCUUUAUGGCCUAUGCUAAUUAUUGUGUUUCUUCUGUAGCCAAACAGCUUAUAUCCAUUAUAGAUAUCAGUUGAAGUGGGAUUA